rnacentral:lncRNA from 1 species
UAUGAAGUCUUAAAAAUAAUUAAAAUGAGCUGUAUACGUUAAUUCUUCAACAACGAUGAUAUAUUUAAGAGACCAACAUUCGAACACACAUUAGUAUUAAAAAUAAUUACAAUCGAUAAAAAUUUUAUUAUUACAAAAUGUUAAAAUCAUUUAAUAAACACACGUUAAUAUUAAAAUUCACUCCGUGCAUGCGCGCGUAUUAUCAUCUAGUAUAUAAGUAACAAGUUUGCAAUAAAAGAUAAAAUGCUAUAUGAGUGAAUGGACGGGACUAUUUGAUUUAAAGUGACCAUUUAUUUAUACGCUGUUUAACUUUUUACUUUUCUAAUAUAUUUUCUAAAAUGAGGUUUUUUUUUUGAUAAAGAUUGCCUAGCAU